UUUCGAAUCAUUCACAAUGGGCGAAAGCCUGAUGGUGCGACGCCGCGUGAGGGAUGAAGGUCUUCGGAUUGUAAACCUCUGUCACCGGGGAAGAAACGCUUCAAGUUAAUAGCUUGAAGCCUGACUUAACCCGGAGAGGAAGCAGUGGCUAACUCUGUGCCAGCAGCCGCGGUAAUACAGAGACUGCAAGCGUCAUUCGGAUUCACUGGGCGUAAAGGGUGCGCAGGUGGCAAUGUGUGUUAGGCGUGAAAGCCCGGGGCUUAACCCCGGAAUUGCACCUAAAACUACAUAGCUAGAGCAUUGGAGAGGGGAGCAGAAUUCACGGUGUAGCAGUGAAAUGCGUAGAUAUCGUGAGGAAUACCAGAGGCGAAGGCGGCUCCCUGGACAAUUGCUGACACUCAGGCACGAAAGCGUGGGGAGCAAAAGGGAUUAGAUACCCCUGUAGUCCACGCCCUAAACGGUGCACACUAGGUCUUGGCGGAUUCGACCCCACCAGGGCCCAAGCUAACGCGUUAAGUGUGCCGCCUGAGGACUACGGCCGCAAGGCUA
rnacentral:rRNA from 1 species